rnacentral:rRNA from 1 species
GAUGAACGCUAGCCACAGGCUUAACACAUGCAAGUCGAGGGGCAGCGCAGUGUAGCAAUACAUGGGCGGCGACCGGCGCACGGGUGCGUAACGCGUAUCCAACCUUCCCGUUACUCAGGGAUAGCCUUCCGAAAGGGAGAUUAAUACUUGAUGGUGUUUGAAUUCCGCAUGUUAUUCAAACUAAAGAUUUAUCGGUAACGGAUGGGGAUGCGUGACAUUAGAUAGUAGGCGGGGUAACGGCCCACCUAGUCUACGAUGUCUAGGGGUUCUGAGAGGAAGGUCCCCCACACUGGAACUGAGACACGGUCCAGACUCCUACGGGAGGCAGCAGUGGGGAAUAUUGGUCAAUGGUCGGAAGACUGAACCAGCCAAGUAGCGUGAAGGAUGAAGGUUCUAUGGAUUGUAAACUUCUUUUAUACGGGAAUAAAACCUCCCACGUGUGGGAGCUUGUAUGUACCGUAUGAAUAAGCAUCGGCUAACUCCGUGCCAGCAGCCGCGGUAAAAC